rnacentral:lncRNA from 1 species
CCUCCGCCCCAUGACCUGUUCCACUCAAGCUCAAAAUUCUGUAAUGCACUUUAAAAAAUUGUAGUUCCAGAAUCCCAUUCGUUUUCCUAAAAGGAUUCAACGUCAAAAAAAAAAUUUUAGCCAAACCAAAUACCCAUAUUUUGGCUGGAAUUCUGCCAGUAACCCCAAGAGGCUGGUGCAGUACAAUCGCUAAGGAUUGAAGCUGGCUGGCCAUAUCUAACAGUAAAAUGGUAAGGCUUCAUGAAUAAAGAAAUACCAUUUUUGAAAACGAGCUUUUUCUGCAGCUGGAAAAGUCAGAUUCAAAAGGCUCUUUUUCCUUUCUAAAGGUUAAACUAAGGAAAGCAGGUCAAAACUGAAAUUUUCGAAACUCCUGGGGAUAUGCAAUCCACUUUUACCAAGGUAUAUUAAAAAAAAAAAAAAAAAAAAGCAAACACCCUUGCACUAAAUAACAAAAUAAUACCUUCCACGUAACUUUCCAGUUAUUAUUUCUAGAAAGUAAUUUUGUUGCAGGUGAUCUUGAAUGUACUUGGGCACCAAGGAAAAAAGACACCUGUGCCUGGCAGGUCGAUACACUACUAAUUUGCCCCGGGUACCAAGGAAACAGAAGAUGCUCUGAUUUCUGGAUAAAACGUUCUGCAGUGCCAGUUUGUAACCUCCGGCACAAUAUGCCUGCUAAUGACCCUAUAUAUGAGGAUCCCAGAGAAAUGAAAGCAAAUUGUUUGCUGUGAAGUUUAAUUGAAAAAUCUGUUUGAAUUAGUACAGGAAGUAUCCCAAAAUAGGAUUCACACUAAUAUGUAUCAGGCCUGGAGAGUUUCAGCAAAACAUUCCAGUAAAAUUUCCAGCAGGAUGGUGUUGAUAAGUGGGAACAAGGACACCUGGUACAAGGAUGUAAUCACUCUCAUAAAGUUAUUAGCCCGUGAAGAAACUGGCAAUGCAACUUUCUGUGAAGUGAAACCAGCAAAUCGAUGCCAAACUUGGGAUCAGGAUGAACCGCCUGCACCAGGCUCCAGGCGCCCCCCACCGCCCAUCCGCUCCUCACUGGACCUGUGGGAAGCCCUCCCACCGCCAGCAGCUGAAGCCUGGGCGCGCCCCGCUCCCCGGGAGACAGCCCCUCACCACAGCAGCUACCCCACUAGCAGCACCACAUAGGUACUCGGACAAUCCAGGAUUUUUUUUUUUUUUUUUUUUUGUACCGGGGAUCGAACUCGGGACCUUGAGGCAGGCAGCCAAAUCACUGAGCUAAAUCCCAGGCCCAUGUUUGCAUUCUUAAAGUAAAAAUUCAAACCAUAACAUGAAAAUCCCCAGUGACUUCUCCAGUCUUCUCAUCAGACGUAACACAUUAACAUCUAUCCCAUUUUACAUCCAUCUUUUAAACAUUUUUCUAAGCAGUUGCUUAUGUAAGUGGUAUGUGAAGAAACACAGGGAUGUAUAUCUGUUUCAGACAAAUAGAAUCAUGCUGUAUGGUACCUUCAGCCAUUAGCAGCUGCUAAGGAAGACUUGCUGCCAAUUUGCUGUAGCUGCAGGGAGCCCAGGCAAGGAGGGCUUUGCUGCUAGUUGCAAAUUUAUCCAGGACUUAGGCUGAUGUGAAUUUCAGAAGGGCCAUGAGAUCAGAAGUUUGAUUAAUGCAUUAAGCAGUACCCUACUUAGGGCCUCCUAGUACCAUAGAUGAUAUCCUCCUCGCCUCCUACCCACACGCACACACCCUUUUGGAAAUCCUAUUUUUACUGUAAACCCUCAGGAACAACAUUCAAAGCCACCACUUCCCAGUAAAGAUUGGUUUUCUUUUUAAUUGGAUGUUACAUUGCCAGAAAUCCUUAGUAUUUCUAAAUUCUCUUUUUCACAUUUUUCCUUCCAAUCUGUACUGUUUGUUUUCAUAAUUUUUCAUUCUAGUCACAUUGUAAACGCCUUCAAUGAGAGUUUAGGAAACCUGAGUGAUGAUGGAUAUCUAUUCAUUUCUGAUUACACCUUCUGAAACCAAUAGUAAUUUACAUGCCCACUUACAAUGAUUUACUUUAAAGCACGUUUAAAUAUUGCAG